rnacentral:rRNA from 1 species
GACGAACGCUGGCGGCGUGCCUAAUACAUGCAAGUCGAGCGCAGGAAGCCAUCUGAACCCUUCGGGGGGACGACGGUGGAAUGAGCGGCGGACGGGUGAGUAACACGUAAAGAACCUGCCCAUAGGUCUGGGAUAACCACGAGAAAUCGGGGCUAAUACCGGAUGUGUCAGCGGACCGCAUGGUCCGCUGAUGAAAGGCGCCCCGGCGUCGCCCAUGGAUGGCUUUGCGGUGCAUUAGCUAGUUGGUGGGGUAACGGCCCACCAAGGCGACGAUGCAUAGCCGACCUGAGAGGGUGAUCGGCCACACUGGGACUGAGACACGGCCCAGACUCCUACGGGAGGCAGCAGUAGGGAAUCUUCCACAAUGGACGAAAGUCUGAUGGAGCAACGCCGCGUGAACGAUGAAGGCUUUCGGGUCGUAAAGUUCUGUUGUAAGGGAAGAACAAGUGCCGCAGGCAAUGGCGGCACCUUGACGGUACCUUGCGAGAAAGCCACGGCUAACUACGUGCCAGCCGCCGCGGUAAUAC